GGACCGCUUGAGGUGUGCAGCAUCCCUGC
rnacentral:sRNA from 1 species